rnacentral:rRNA from 1 species
GAUGAACGCUGGCGGCGUGCCUAAUACAUGCAAGUCGAGCGAACGGACGAGAAGCUUGCUUCUCUGAUGUUAGCGGCGGACGGGUGAGUAACACGUGGAUAACCUACCUAUAAGACUGGGAUAACUUCGGGAAACCGGAGCUAAUACCGGAUAAUAUUUUGAACCGCAUGGUUCAAAAGUGAAAGACGGUCUUGCUGUCACUUAUAGAUGGAUCCGCGCUGCAUUAGCUAGUUGGUAAGGUAACGGCUUACCAAGGCAACGAUGCAUAGCCGACCUGAGAGGGUGAUCGGCCACACUGGAACUGGGACACGGUCCAGGCUCCUACGGGAGGCAGCAGUAGGGAAUCUGCCGCAAUGGGCGAAAGCCUGACGGAGCAACGCCGCGUGAGUGAUGAAGGUCUUCGGAUCGUAAAACUCUGUUAUUAGGGAAGAACAUAUGUGUAAGUAGCUGUGCACAUCUUGACGGUACCUAAUCAGAAAGCCACGGCUAACUACGUG